AAAGUCGUAACAAGGUUUCCGUAGGUGAACCUGCGGAAGGAUCAUUCACAAUGAGUGUUUAAUGGCACUUCAAAUCCAUUACCCACCUUGUGUGCAUUGUCGGAGGACUCUCAAUCUCCUCCUCCUCUUUGAGGGGGCGGGAGGGGGGAGGGGGUUCCUCUUCUUAUAAUACAUACUCUGAUCUUCACUAUCAGUCCACUUCAAUUGAGUACAAAACUCGAAUACAACUUUCAACAACGGAUCUCUUGGCUCUC
rnacentral:misc_RNA from 1 species